UUUUUUUUUCUUUUUUUAGCCGGGACUAUUUUUAUGAAUUUGUUUUUAGUUGAAGAGUAGGUCCUGAACUGUUGUACAUAUUUCUAACUAGGCUGAUGCACAGUGCAAAUUCCUUUUUAAUUUUUUAAAAGUAGAAAUACUAAAAGAAUACCAUCUUAACUAUUCAUAUCAGUAUCCAGUUGUAGCAUAAGGUGUCAAAACAAGUACACAGAACACUUACUGUUUUAAAUACCUAUUUCCUUUUAACAAGAAUUCUUGUAUUUCUCCCUGUGUUUUGAGAUGAACACUUUUAAAUUUUAAAGUUGUACAGCUUUUUUGUUUUCCAUUAUUUUAUCUUGUUUGUAACUCUAUGAAAUAUAUAUAUAUAUAUUUUUUGCCAUUUAACUGUUGUAUGUUACUGUGUCUGUAUCUAUAGAAGAAAAAUGUUUGUUUUGGGUUCUCUGUGUGAUACCAAUUAACAAUUUAACACUAGCUUUACCUGUCAAAUUCUGCUAGGUCUUCUCUGAAAACUGUCGUUUAAAAUGAUAUCGCUUGGUAAUAGUGCAAAUUCUACCCUCCCUGCCCCCCAACCUCAAGUUUCUUUGUAACUGCCAGCCCUUCCCCAAUGGUUUUGUUCUAUUUUGAGCUACAAUCAUCCUCCCUCUGUGAGGCAGUGACUGUCAGUGUUUCACUGUGCCAUGCCUUGACCUGUGAGUGUGUUUUGGCAACAAUACGGUAAGGUUGGGUAGAAUGGCCAAGCAUGCUUCUACCCGUCAGUAUUCCUCAAAGGAGGUGUGGGAUUGGUUCAACCCGGAAGUGGGUUCACGAACGCAUUCCUCUGUAGCCGCACCACCAACCCACCUACAUGUUCAUCAAAGAAGAAACUCUCAGCACUAACCCAGAAAUAGCGAAGCAGUCAGUGAUGGUAAAAACCAGAAGGCAGACAAGUGGCUGUGAUCGGUAGCAGUUCACAAGGCAUUGGUUAACUACAGUGCUCAGUUGUGUAGACAGAUCUCACCCGGGGAGUUUACUCCUGCCUGCUGUCGGAGUGAGUCGUUGAGUGGACCAUCUCAACUCACCUUUAAAACUAGUUCGUGACUUCUAUUGGCACUUCUUCUUCUUUUUUUUUUUUCUUCCUUUUUUUAAGUUAUUGGGCGAAUUUUGCCCCCUUAGUUCCUUCAUGAUGUGGCUCGGUGCCAGACACUAUUAGACACACAGCACCAAGAUACCUGUCAGAAUUGGAGUUAUUUCAUGCGUCCUUUAUCCCUCCCUAAAGAAACUUAAGGAACACACACACACUCACACUCAUUCACACACUUAAUGCAUCUAGGAAGUUUUGUUUUUAAUUAAAAGCUAUUUAAAAAGAUGAAUGUGGCCAAAGUUUUACACAAUUGAAAGGAAAGUAAAACGGGCGGCACGUGUUGAAACCUGAGUUUAUCAGGCAUGGCAGGAAGUUGCAGGAGAGAGGCAGUGACCCAAGCCAGUGCACUUGAUGUUCAUGGACAUAUAUUUUUUUUAAAUAAUAAAUUAAAGUAAAACAUUUUAAAUAGAAGCAUAAAACUGAGUUGGUUGGUUGGCGCUGAGGUACUGCCCACUGUGAAACAAAGCUUUGACUAGUUUUUUGUUUUGUUUACUUUCUUUGGGGGGGGAGGGGGGGCAAGUUUGGGUAGGAAAGAAAGCAUAAAUGAACGUGACCCUGAGGUAAAGAGGUAUAUGAACAGCCUUUGCAAUGUACAAAAAAAAAAAAACAAAAACAAAAACAAAAAAAACAACAACAUAAAAAAACAAAAAAACAAACAAAAACAAAAAAAAAACAAAAACAAAAAAAAUAGAGCAAGUGAAACCAAAAAUGAUGUUCUUGGUGUUUUUCUAUAAUGUAGUCUUGUUAGCUUUUUUGUUACUGUAACAAUGCUGAUCUCGAACUGUACCAAAAUACAUGGA
ensembl:lncRNA